rnacentral:rRNA from 1 species
UACGUAGGGGGCAAGCGUUGUCCGGAAUCAUUGGGCGUAAAGAGCGUGUAGGCGGCCAGAUAAGUCCGCUGUGAAAUCUCGAGGCUCAACUUCGAGCUGUCGGUGGAAACUGUCUGGCUAGAGUCCGGAAGAGGAGAUGGAAUUCCUGGUGUAGCGGUGAAAUGCGCAGAUAUCAGGAGAACACCCGUGGCGAAGGCGGUUCUCUGGGACGGUACUGACGCUGAGACGCGAAAGCGUGGGGGAGCGAACAGG